CCUACGGGCGGCAGCAGUGGGGAAUAUUGCACAAUGGGCGCAAGCCUGAUGCAGCCAUGCCGCGUGUGUGAAGAAGGCCUUCGGGUUGUAAAGCACUUUCAGCGGGGAGGAAGGCGUUAAGGUUAAUAACCUUGGCGAUUGACGUUACCCGCAGAAGAAGCACCGGCUAACUCCGUGCCAGCAGCCGCGGUAAUACGGAGGGUGCAAGCGUUAAUCGGAAUUACUGGGCGUAAAGCGCACGCAGGCGGUCUGUCAAGUCGGAUGUGAAAUCCCCGGGCUCAACCUGGGAACUGCAUUCGAAACUGGCAGGCUAGAGUCUUGUAGAGGGGGGUAGAAUUCCAGGUGUAGCGGUGAAAUGCGUAGAGAUCUGGAGGAAUACUGGUGGCGAAGGCGGCCCCCUGGACAAAGACUGACGCUCAGGUGCGAAAGCGUGGGGAGCAAACAGGAUUAGAUACCCGAGUAGUC
rnacentral:rRNA from 1 species